GCCCUCAGGCCACCGCUACGCGACCCUGAGUGCACCUUCAAGAAGGCCGGGCACGUUUCUGGGCGGGCGUGGGGGGUGCCUGAUAUCUCCGCUCUAUUUUACAGUUACUCCCCUGCUGGUGCCUCCCUCCUUGGCGCGCUUCCCACCUGCGAUCGGCGCCCUCUUCGCAGUCACGAACUCGCCAGCAGCUAGCAGCACUGACUAGUAGGAGGGCCCGCCGGAGGAGAGGAAGCCCCAGAGAGAUUGGUGAGGGUGAUUUCCCAGGAAGACGCAGUGUGCUCUGACUUCUGUGACAGACAUGCUCUGGAGUCAGAAGACAGCGAAAAGAGAAGCAGAAGCCCCGGUGGCAAGAGUCUGAAGCAGGAAGGAUGACUGUAGCCUGUGGAUUGUACUGCAGUAGGAAACUGUCCUAGCAAGGCUCCACUUUGCCCCAGCUUCAAGCUGGAAAGGAGGAGAACAUGAAACAUUGCUUGAAGACAAUGGCCGAGACAGCAGGUCCCACCCUGCACAGCCACCAGCAUCUCUCCCCUCAGCCCUGUCUCCUCUUCUGCAGUUGGGAUCUGCACAUUUAAGCCUGAAAUUGUCCUGUGAAGUGAAGUAUGAUCGGACAGCCUCUUUUCAGCUUUUAUGACAAUGGAGACAGAGGAAUUGUGGCUCUUGCCAAGGUCACAGGAUUGGAAUACAGAGCCAAGCCACCCCAGGACAUGCAAGAGCCUCAGAAGGGAAAAAAGCCCAGCAGGAAGGGAGAACAAGUAGCCUCUGUCCUGAAGUUGUAACAGCCAGGGGCCAGGAUGGAGGAGGAGGACCCCAUAAUCUGCCCAUCUGGGACUUGGCAGGGGACCUGGGAAAAUGUACCCCAACCCAUCCCUUAAGGGCCUUUGUCUUUGGCCCAUUGGCCUAGCAUCUACUUC
ensembl:lncRNA MIR9-3HG MIR9-3 host gene